rnacentral:rRNA from 1 species
GACGAACGCUGGCGGCGUGCUUAACACAUGCAAGUCGAACGGAAAGGCCCUGCUUUUGUGGGGUGCUCGAGUGGCGAACGGGUGAGUAACACGUGAGUAACCUGCCCUUGACUUUGGGAUAACUUCAGGAAACUGGGGCUAAUACCGGAUAGGAGCUCCUGCUGCAUGGUGGGGGUUGGAAAGUUUCGGCGGUUGGGGAUGGACUCGCGGCUUAUCAGCUUGUUGGUGGGGUAGUGGCUUACCAAGGCUUUGACGGGUAGCCGGCCUGAGAGGGUGACCGGCCACAUUGGGACUGAGGUACGGACCAGACUCCUACGGGAGGCAGCAGUGGGGAAUAUUGCACAAUGGGCGGAAGCCUGAUGCAGCAACGCCGCGUGCGGGAUGACCGCCUUCGGGUUGUAAACCGCUUUCGCCUGUGACGAAGCGUGAGUGACGGUAAUGGGUAAAGAAGCACCGGCUAACUACGUG